rnacentral:rRNA from 1 species
CCUACACAUGCAGUCGAGCGGUAGCACAGAGAGCUUGCUCUCGGGUGACGAGCGGCGGACGGGUGAGUAAUGUCUGGGAAACUGCCUGAUGGAGGGGGAUAACUACUGGAAACGGUAGCUAAUACCGCAUAACGUCGCAAGACCAAAGUGGGGGACCUUCGGGCCUCAUGCCAUCAGAUGUGCCCAGAUGGGAUUAGCUAGUAGGUGGGGUAAUGGCUCACCUAGGCGACGAUCCCUAGCUGGUCUGAGAGGAUGACCAGCCACACUGGAACUGAGACACGGUCCAGACUCCUACGGGAGGCAGUAGUGGGGAAUAUUGCACAAUGGGCGCAAGCCUGAUGCAGCCAUGCCGCGUGUAUGAAGAAGGCCUUCGGGUUGUAAAGUACUUUCAGCGAGGAGGAAGGCGUUAAGGUUAAUAACCUUAGUGAUUGACGUUACUCGCAGAAGAAGCACCGGCUAACUCCGUGCCAGCAGCCGCGGUAAUACGGAGGGUGCAAGCGUUAAUCGGAAUUACUGGGCGUAAAGCGCACGCAGGCGGUCUGUUAAGUCAGAUGUGAAAUCCCCGGGCUCAACCUGGGAACUGCAUUUGAAACUGGCAGGCUUGAGUCUUGUAGAGGGGGGUAGAAUUCCAGGUGUAGCGGUGAAAUGCGUAGAGAUCUGGAGGAAUACCGGUGGCGAAGGCGGCCCCCUGGACAAGACUGACGCUCAGUGCGAAGCGUGGGAGCAAC